UACGUAGGGUGCAAGCGUUAAUCGGAAUUACUGGGCGUAAAGCGUGCGCAGGCGGUUAUAUAAGACAGAUGUGAAAUCCCCGGGCUCAACCUGGGAACUGCAUUUGUGACUGUAUAGCUAGAGUAUGGCAGAGGGGGAUGGAAUUCCGCGUGUAGCAGUGAAAUGCGUAGAUAUGCGGAGGAACACCGAUGGCGAAGGCAAUCCCCUGGGCCUGUACUGACGCUCAUGCACGAAAGCGUGGGGAGCAAACAGG
rnacentral:rRNA from 1 species